UACGUAGGGUGCGAGCGUUAAUCGGAAUUACUGGGCGUAAAGCGUGUGUAGGCGGCAACGCAAGUCGGGCGUGAAAUCCCACGGCUCAACCGUGGAAGUGCACUCGAAACUGUGUAGCUAGAGUCCUGGAGAGGCAGGUGGAAUGCUUGGUGUAGAGGUGAAAUUCGUAGAUAUCAAGCGGAACACCGGUGGCGAAGGCGGCCUUCUGGACAGUGACUGACGCUGAGACACGAAAGCGUGGGGAGCAAACAGG
rnacentral:rRNA from 1 species